rnacentral:rRNA from 1 species
GAUGAACGCUGGCGGCGUGCUUAACACAUGCAAGUCGAACGAACCUUCGGGUUAGUGGCGGACGGGUGAGUAACGCGUGAGAAUCUGCCCUCAGGAGGGGGAUAACGGUUGGAAACGACCGCUAAUACCCCAUAUGCCGAUAGGUGAAAUGAAUUUCGCCUGAGGAUGAGCUCGCGUCUGAUUAGCUUGUUGGUGAGGUAAUGGCUCACCAAGGCUUCGAUCAGUAGCUGGUCUGAGAGGAUGAUCAGCCACACUGGGACUGAGACACGGCCCAGACUCCUACGGGAGGCAGCAGUGGGGAAUUUUCCGCAAUGGGCGAAAGCCUGACGGAGCAACGCCGCGUGAGGGACGAAGGCCUCUGGGCUGUAAACCUCUUUUCUCAAGGAAGAAGAUAUGACGGUACUUGAGGAAUAAGCCACGGCUAAUUCCGUGCCAGCAGCCGCGGUAAUACGGGAGUGGCAAGCGUUAUCCGGAAUUAUUGGGCGUAAAGCGUCCGCAGGCGGCCUUUCAAGUCUGCUGUUAAAGCGUGGAGCUUAACUCCAUUAUGGCAGUGGAAACUGAUCGGCUUGAGUAUGGUAGGGGCAGAGGGAAUUCCCGGUGUAGCGGUGAAAUGCGUAGAUAUCGGGAAGAACACCAGUGGCGAAGGCGCUCUGCUGGGCCAUUACUGACGCUCAUGGGCGAAAGCCAGGGGAGCGAAAGGGAUUAGAUACCCCUGUAGUCCUGGCCGUAAACGAUGAACACUAGGUGUCGGGGGAAUCGACCCCUUCGGUGUCGUAGCUAACGCGUAAAGUGUUCCGCCUGGGGAGUACGCACGCAAGUGUGAAACUCAAAGGAAUUGACGGGGGCCCGCACAAGCGGUGGAGUAUGUGGUUUAAUUCGAUGCAACGCGAAGAACCUUACCAGGGUUUGACAUCCUGAGAACCUCUUAGAAAUUUGAGGGUGCCUUCGGGAAUUCAGUGACAGGUGGUGCAUGGCUGUCGUCAGCUCGUGUCGUGAGAUGUUGGGUUAAGUCCCGCAACGAGCGCAACCCACGUUUUUAGUUGCCAGCAUUUAGUUGGGCACUCUAGAAAGACCGCCGGUGAUAAACCGGAGGAAGGUGUGGAUGACGUCAAGUCAUCAUGCCCCUUACACCCUGGGCUACACACGUACUACAAUGCUACGGACAAAGGGCAGCAAACUCGCGAGAGCUAGCAAAUCCCAUAAACCGUGGCUCAGUUCAGAUCGUAGGCUGCAACUCGCCUACGUGAAGUAGGAAUCGCUAGUAAUCGCAGGUCAGCAUACUGCGGUGAAUACGUUCCCGGGCCUUGUACUCACCGCCCGUC